rnacentral:rRNA from 1 species
AACACAUGCAAGUCGAGGGGUAUGCUUCUUCGGAAGCAGAGACCGGCGCACGGGUGCGUAACGCGUAUGCAAUCUACCUUUCACAGAGGGAUAGCCCAGAGAAAUUUGGAUUAAUACCUCAUAGUAUAGCAGUUUCGCAUGAAACCACUAUUAAAGUCACAACGGUGAAAGAUGAGCAUGCGUCCCAUUAGCUAGUUGGUAAGGUAACGGCUUACCAAGGCAACGAUGGGUAGGGGUCCUGAGAGGGAGAUCCCCCACACUGGUACUGAGACACGGACCAGACUCCUACGGGAGGCAGCAGUGAGGAAUAUUGGACAAUGGGCGCAAGCCUGAUCCAGCCAUGCCGCGUGCAGGAUGACGGUCCUAUGGAUUGUAAACUGCUUUUAUACGAGAAGAAACCCUCCGACGUGUCGGAGCUUGACGGUAUCGUAAGAAUAAGGAUCGGCUAACUCCGUGCCAGCAGCCGCGGUAAUACGGAGGAUCCAAGCGUUAUCCGGAAUCAUUGGGUUUAAAGGGUCCGUAGGCGGUCAGGUAAGUCAGUGGUGAAAGCCCAUCGCUCAACGGUGGAACGGCCAUUGAUACUGUCUGACUUGAAUUAUUAGGAAGUAACUAGAAUAUGUAUGUAGCGGUGAAAUGCUUANAGAUUACAUGGAAUACCAAUUGCGAANGCAGGUUACUACUAAUGGAUUGACGCUGAUGGACAAAGCGUUGGUA